rnacentral:rRNA from 1 species
UCUUGGUCAUUUAGAGGAAGUAAAAGUCGUAACUCUUGGUCCACUUAGAGGAAGUAAAAGUCGUAACAAGGUAUCCGUUGGUGAACCAGCGGAGGGAUCAUUACAGAGUUUCUAACUCACAACCCAUCGUGAACAUACCUUUGUUGCUUCGGCGCGCUUCACGGCCGCCGAAGACCCUAAACUCUUGUUUUUACAUGUGCUUACUCUGAGUAAUUCUUGAAAUAAAUCAAAACCUUCAACAACGGAUCUCUUGGCUCUGGCAUCGAUGAAGAACGCAGCGAAAUGCGAAAAGUAAUGUGAAUUGCAGAAUUCAGUGAAUCAUCGAAUCUUUGAACGCACAUUGCGCCCGCUGGUACUCCGGCGGGCACGCCUGUCCGAGCGUCAUUUCAACCCUCAAGCCCUCCUUCGGGAUGGGCCUGGUGUUGGGGCUCGUCCGCCAUCUCCGGCGGCCGUCCCCUAAAUAGCAGUGGCGGUCACGUCGCGACUCCUUUGCGUAGUAGAAACACCUCNCUCCGGAUAGCAACGCGGUCCACGCCGUAAAAUCCCCAAUUUUCAAUGGUGACCUCGGAUCACGUGGGAAUACCCGCUGAACUUAAUCAUAUCAAUAAGGCGGAGGAAGCUGAACUUAAGCAUAUCAAUAAGCGGAGGAA